rnacentral:rRNA from 1 species
GAUGAACGCUGGCGGCGUGCCUAAUACAUGCAAGUCGAGCGAACAGACGAGGAGCUUGCUCCUCUGACGUGAGCGGCGGACGGGUGAGUAACACGUGGAUAACCUACCUAUAAGACUGGGAUAACUUCGGGAAACCGGAGCUAAUACCGGAUAAUAUAUUGAACCGCAUGGUUCAAUAGUCAAAGACGGUUUUGCUGUCACUUAUAGAUGGAUCCGCGCCGCAUUAGCUAGUUGGUAAGGUAACGGCUUACCAAGGCAACGAUGCGUAGCCGACCUGAGAGGGUGAUCGGCCACACUGGAACUGAGACACGGUCCAGACUCCUACGGGAGGCAGCAGUAGGGAAUCUUCCGCAAUGGGCGAAAGCCUGACGGAGCAACGCCGCGUGAGUGAUGAAGGUCUUCGGAUCGUAAAACUCUGUUAUUAGGGAAGAACAAAUGUGUAAGUAACUAUGGACGUCUUGACGGUACCUAAUCAGAAAGCCACGGCUAACUACGUG